UCAUUUGGAUCUAUAGCUCUAUUACAUAUUGAUUUUGGAAUUUUGGGAAAGUCAUUUAAUCUCUCAAUUAUAGUUUCUCUUGGGAUUAUUAGUUUCUUCCCUGCCCCCAGGGGAGCUGGUAUAAAAAUCAAAUGAACUAGUUUUAUAAGACAUAUGUAUUACAAUGAUGAGAUAGCAACACGAAUUCAUCAGUUUUUUUUUCUUUUUAUUUGUUUUGCCACCAUUCCUCCACCACAGGUCUUGGAACCGGAACCUAAGUGGUAAUUGGUCAUCUUCUCAUCUGCCUGCAAGCUGCUUCUCCUUUCAACUGUGACUGCAGUAUUUGCUUUCUUUGGAAAACAAGAUUUUCUGCAAAUAUCUUGGGAUGGAAGAAACUAAAAGGAGAAAGUGAGUGUAUUUGACAUAAGAGUCCAGCUCAAAGAGUUUCAAGUGGAACUCAUUUGGAAGGAAUAAGGGC